GGGCUGCACUCGUGUUGCUGCCUGCAUUUAGGAUCAAAACAAAGUUCAGUGGGUUUACAAGUGUGGGCUACGGAACGUGUGGAGGCAUCAUGCGCAGUGCGCCCUUUCGCCGUUCACAUGGUGAAGCUGUGCACACCCUGCUCUACCCCCACACUGAAAUUCUGAGCAGUCAGCACUUGACAGGAGCAGAGCUGUCGUUUCCUUAUCAUCUGUGAAACUCGGCACUCUUUUGUUUUUUCUGCAAAGGUCCUGCGUUUCGCACCUAGAGUCAGCGAUCAUGUCUCUAUUUCGGUGGUAAGAUAAAGCUGUCCCCCAUCUGAACCGAGGAAAUAAGCACUCGUCACCUCACACCUCUCAUAUCUACGCUGAAGGUGGAAAUGUGAGGGCAGCAAACACAGAAAUAUUGAACUUGUGGUGGUGUCACUGGUUGGCUAUCAAGCAGUACAAACCCAUGAUUAUUCAAGCUUUGCUAUGGGCAAGUUUCUCUUGAAUGAACUGUGAGAGGCUGAGGUAAACCUGUACAGGAGUACUUGCCACCAUGACUGUUGACACCAGUUCCAUAGUAGAAAGAUAAGAACUAGAUCAUUAUGAAACUGCUGUGAAAAUCUACCAUCAAUCAAAAAUUGUACCUCUGCAAAUUGUUUCUGUGACUGGAUCAGUCCUUAAUCUGCUGUAUUCCUAAAAUGGGUAUCAACAUAAAAUGAUUUAAGAUUGGCACCAA